rnacentral:rRNA from 3 species
UGGUGGGUAGUUUGACUGGGGCGGUCUCCUCCUAAAGAGUAACGGAGGAGCACGAAGGUUGGCUAAUCCUGGUCGGACAUCAGGAGGUUAGUGCAAUGGCAUAAGCCAGCUUGACUGCGAGCGUGACGGCGCGAGCAGGUGCGAAAGCAGGUCAUAGUGAUCCGGUGGUUCUGAAUGGAAGGGCCAUCGCUCAACGGAUAAAAGGUACUCCGGGGAUAACAGGCUGAUACCGCCCAAGAGUUCAUAUCGACGGCGGUGUUUGGCACCUCGAUGUCGGCUCAUCACAUCCUGGGGCUGAAGUAGGUCCCAAGGGUAUGGCUGUUCGCCAUUUAAAGUGGUACGCGAGCUGGGUUUAGAACGUCGUGAGACAGUUCGGUCCCUAUCUGCCGUGGGCGCUGGAGAACUGAGGGGGGCUGCUCCUAGUACGAGAGGACCGGAGUGGACGCA